GCUGGGUGCAGUGGCGUGCACCUGUAGUCCCAGCUACUUGGGAGGCUGAGGCAGGAGGACUGCUUGAGCCCAGGAGCUCAAGACUGCAGUGAGCUAUGAUCACGACACUGCAAUUCCAGCCUGGGUGACAGAGCAAGACUCUGCCUCUA
ensembl:misc_RNA Metazoa_SRP Metazoan signal recognition particle RNA